rnacentral:rRNA from 1 species
GUUUGAUCCUGACUCAGGACGAGCGCUGGCGGCGUGCUUAACACAUGCAAGUCGUGCGGUAGCAAGUCUCCUUUUUUGGGGUGUUGACGAGCGGCGAACGGGUGAGUACACGUGAGUGAUCUGCCCUCUUCUUUGGGAUAAGCUCCGGAAACGGGUCUAAUACUGGAUAUGCACUGUUCCGCGCAUGUGGGUGGUGGAAAGCGGCCUGCUUUUUGGGUGGGUUGUGGAGGGGAUGUGCUCGCGGCCUAUCAGCUUGUUGGUGGGGUAAUGGCUUACCAAGGCUUUGACGGGUAGCCGGCCUGAGAGGGUGAUCGGCCACACUGGGACUGAGACACGGCCCAGACUCCUACGGGAGGCAGCAGUGGGGAAUAUUGGACAAUGGGCGGGAGCCUGAUCCAGCAACGCCGCGUGGGGGAUGACGGCCUUCGGGUUGUAAACCUCUUUCGGUUCCGACGAAGCUGUGCCCUUUGGUGGGUGUGGUGACGGUAGGUUCAGAAGAAGCACCGGCCAACUACGUG